UACGUAGGGUGCAAGCGUUAAUCGGAAUUACUGGGCGUAAAGCGUGCGCAGGCGGCUUUGCAAGACAGAUGUGAAAUCCCCGGGCUUAACCUGGGAACUGCAUUUGUGACUGCAUGGCUGGAGUGCGGCAGAGGGGGAUGGAAUUCCGCGUGUAGCAGUGAAAUGCGUAGAUAUGCGGAGGAACACCGAUGGCGAAGACAAUCCCCUGGGCCUGCACUGACGCUGAGGAGCGAAAGCCAGGGGAGCAAACGGG
rnacentral:rRNA from 1 species